GUGUCUUUUGUUUCCACAUCGAUGACAUACUUUUUCCUUUAAAGUUGUUGAGACUUUAGAUGUCGCCGUUUGAUCCUUCUCAACAUAUGUCCUUUCAUAUCCAAGACCAAGCUUGUUCGUUUGACCCAAUCCGAGCAUAUGAUCUAGUUUCUUUGAUCCGGAAGAAAAUUUUUGAAUGUCGGAUUAAAGUUGACGAACUUGACUAGUUAAGACUUGAUUGGAUGCAUGAAUUUCCUGAAAUUGGUGCUCCAAAAAUUCAAUCUUAUCUUUAGAAGAUUUGAUGGUUGAUUCCGCU
rnacentral:lncRNA from 1 species